UCAUGAAGGCUGUUCAUAUUGUUGUGUUUUUAUGCUCACUGUAUCUGAUAUUUUUGUUCUUCAUUUUCAACAGGCCAGAAGCCUUGGUGUCAUGUGGAUUGUUGUGGCUUGUCUACUACUUGCUGAUGUAUCGGUGGGACAAAGAUAUUAGGAGAUAUUCAGGAUUCCCAAUCGAAAUGUGAAUAUGAGCUCUUGUGCGGUGGUGGUAGUACCUCCUGAUACUUUGUUGGAACAAGAGAAAAAAACUGCAUCACCGUUAGAACUUUGAAAAUUUACUGUUGUGUUGUGUUCUACCUCUUCAUGUACGGUUAGUGCUGUAUCAACUUCUCAUGCAACGAAGGAAAAGAAGCUAACAAAUGAAUAAGAAUUGUAUUUGUACUUGUGCACUAUUUUCUGAUCAUUUGCUGGAGUGGAAGUAAUUGCCAAUAAGCCAUGGAUAUAAACUGUUGUGGAGAGAACUGGAUUAUUUUGUAGUAUUUAUUAAAUUGAUCUUCACUAUUCUACAUCAAAGUAAUAAUAUCAAGAAUAGCAUCUUAGAAAGAGCCUUACAUGAAAUCAAUAGAAGUGAUAAACUUACAGACUACCGGUACUAGAAAUAUUAAAAAGCCAUGGAAACUAUGUCAAUAACUUGAACAAUAAAAUAACGAAGAAUAAUCCAAAUUAUAGUUUUGGAGAGGAACAGCAAAUCAGAAUUUGUCAUGUGAGUCAAAAGCACUAAAAGUGAACAAGAAAACUGCUGUCCACCAGUAUAAUAAUGUAUCUAUGAUGAAAUUAAUGUCAGGAUCGAGGCCAGAAUGAAUGAAGCUGACGUUUUCUUGUUCAUGCUGUUUAUUUCAUUCUUUGUCAUGCUUCUGAAUGGGAAAAUCAACAUGACACCAAUUCUUAUAUUGCUUGUGAUUACCAUGGUAUACAUCCUGAUUGCCAAACUUUAGUGAGAGAUGACAAAUUUUACUAGCGAUUCGAAAGCUAUACACAACAUGUGAAUAAAAUCUUAUUUUUACAGUA